AUCUUAGUAGCAAAAUGUUAAAUGCUAGGAGCCUAAGCCUCCUCAAUAAAAGUUUAAUCCUUUUUUAAGAUU
rnacentral:tRNA from 1 species